UACGGGGGGGGCAAGCGUUGUUCGGAAUUACUGGGCGUAAAGGGCGCGUAGGCGGUUGGAUAAGUCAGCUGUGAAAACCACGAGCUUAACUCGUGGCCUGCAGUUGAGACUGUCUGGCUUGAGUGUGGGAGAGGAGAGUGGAAUUCCUGGUGUAGCGGUGAAAUGCGCAGAUAUCAGGAAGAACACCCGUGGCUAAGGCGGCUCUCUAGUACGGUACUGACGCUGAGACGCGAAAGCGUGGGGAGCGAACAGG
rnacentral:rRNA from 1 species